rnacentral:misc_RNA from 1 species
GAUGAAGAACGCAGCGAAAUGCGAUAAGUAAUGUGAAUUGCAGAAUUCAGUGAAUCAUCGAAUCUUUGAACGCACAUUGCGCCCCUUGGUAUUCCGAGGGGCAUGCCUGUUCGAGCGUCAUUAUAACCCUCAAGCUCAGCUUGGUGUUGGGGCUUGCUGCACUGGCAGCCCUUAAAAUCAGUGGCGGCGCCAUCUGGCUCUAAGCGUAGUAAUUCUUCUCGCUAUGGAGUCCUGGUGGAUGCUUGCCAUCAACCCCCAAUUUUUCUAUGGUUGACCUCGGAUCAGGUAGGGAUACCCGCUGAACUUAAGCAUAUCAAUAAGCGGAGGA